CUUCCCCACCCAGGAAUUGAACUGGGGUCUUCUGCAUUGCAGGUGAUUCUUUACCAACUGAGCUAUCAGGGAAGCCCAAGUGUGUCUUUCAUGAUGUAAAAAUGUAACACUUUGCCCUGUUUCUCUUUUGGAAGAAGUUGAAUACUCUUAGGCAUUGAAUGUUUGCACAUAUGCAGAUAUUGAUCAUGGUUUUGCUAUCACGGUGCUGCCCAUAGGCUUUGAAUAGGUGUCCAGUGAGCCAACUAUGGCUUUCCAACCUGGGCCGUGACCUUGGAAGAUCUCCAGGUAGAGUGGAUGUGUCCCCUAAUGAUGACAUGACCCAAGUGUCCUGGUUGAACAGGCACAUCAGGUACAUGGACAAUGUGGGCUAACCCUCAGCACAGGUUCCCUGAACUGCACAUAAAUAGCUGAGCGAGCAUUGUGACCCUCCCACUGUGACCAUGACUUCUUUGCUGGUCCUCAGGUAACAAGGGAUAUUUUACUCAUUCUUAAGACCUUGAGAGAAAAAUGUUUAUCUCUGAGAGUUGUGAGGGAUGACACAGGUCAGGUAUUUCUUAUGAUAUGCCAAGCACUGUAGUGACCAUGGACAUUCUGCAGGUACCCUGUAAAGAAGUGUAAUUAACCUGACAGGAGUCUUGACCUCAGAAUCCUGCAAGCACUCAGGUUCCUUUCAAAGGAGGAACCUUCCAAUGGUCACUCUCUGGGGACCUUGCUGGUGUCCAGGUCAGUCAUGAGGUGGGCCUUGAGCUGCCUGCAAACAAACUGAUCUUUAGCAAUGUAGGCAAGUGUGGAUGGCAUUCCUACCUAUUCAAUUUUAAGUUUUUUAUUUUUCAGGGGAGCAGGUUUUCAGUCAAGACAUGACAUUGUCCGCCACCAAUGCUAAGUACAUCUUCCCCCCUCCUUUUUUUUUCCCCUUAGAAUUUUGCUAUAAAGUGUGUUUCAGCUUAAGAGUGACAGAGGGUAAUGUACAUCCAGGCAAUUGAUUCUGCUAUUGAAAUACUCACCAGAUUUCUCCCAGUAUGCCUCCAAGAGGUGACUCUGUGCCUAACAAUGGUGUUGACCUUCAAUUAGUUCAAGUCCAGGUUGUGUUUCCGCUUGCCCUCUCUAUGGAAGUGACCGAUGUUAUUGGCAAGGGUAAGCUUAUUUCACAGGGAAGCCACUGUGUCCUUUAAGACAUAGUGGAAUGCAUUUCUCAAGGUUCUAGCUGUCAUGGCAUCACAAUGAACCAAAUGAUAGCUAUCCUCGGGACCUCGCUAGCAACCAGGAGUGGGAUGAAGUGGGUCCUUGCCCAGCCAUAUCAUUCCAUUUUCUGAUGUCUAGGUGAAUGGGGAUGGUGUCUUUAACCCAGCGUGUGAACAUUCUUUGUUGCAGGUUUCCCAUUCAGUUCUUUGCAUAGCGUAGCAGUGUGAGAUUAUGUGACAUGAAUUCAUUAAGGACCUUCUUAUUUUCAGAUUGAUAGGAAAUUCAUGAUCUUCUGAAGACUCUUAAAUAGACCUUGAUUUGGCAUGGAGCAUUUCAGAAACUCAUUGGUCCCUCACAGUGUUCAUCAGCAUGAGAAACUGACUAUGAAUAUAUUCUUGUUCAGAGAUGCUUCUUUUUCCCUGCUCUUGUGAUGGUAUGGAUGCAAUUCAUUGGAUUUCCCAUACCUGUGACAUUGACCAGGGGAGUUUUGCAGGUAAAUGCUCAAAAGAGGAAGGUUCUCUGACUAGGCCUUGACCUGAUGUUCCUGCAGUUACCCAGAUUCACGUCAAGCACUCUAGGUGAACGUGUCGAAGGUGGUUCCCAUGUGACCUGGCCAGUAUCCAGGUAAGCGAUAUUUGUGGCCUCACCCACGGCAUGGGUCCUCAGGCCUUCAUCAAUCUAGGUAAGUUAGGAUGGGUUGUCACACUGAUGUUACCAAGACUUUUUUCAUCGAGGCACUCAGGUAAGAAAUGACAGAGAUUUACCAAAUCCUCCAACAUAUGCUUUCUCCUCUUUAUCUUAGAAAAAGCUUCUGUCUCAUCCUGUGAGAGUUGAGGGAUUAUACCUCCCUAGGUACUGAUCAUGGUGUCCCUAACCCCAGGAGUACCCAUACGUUUUUCCCAGGUGUCCAGUGAAGUCCUGGUCAUUUUAUCUGACGUCAGUAUGGAUCUCUUAUUCCUGACAAGAUGCAGGUUGAGUCAGUGUUUACAUACUGAUGAAGAGGCUAGGUGAGAUGGUAUCUCUUUGUUAGAUUGAGUCCUGCACUUGUACAAGCAUCCAAAUGGUAAAACUGACCAAGAGAAUAUUCAGGUGUCCACACCUAGAAUGUUAUGUUUAUUGCAUUCAUUCUCUUAAUGUUUUCAGGUUCAUGUCAUGUCCUGAUGGUGAACUUUCAUUGGUAAUUUACUUGGGACAUUGCUUGUGUCUACCUAAGUUGGGAUGGUUGCCUUUUCCUCAUCACAGACCAUCUCUUCCCCAUGCAUCUUGGUAAGUCAUGAUAGUGUUCUGAACAGUUCUUUCUAGCAUGAUUUUGUUUUAGAUCUUCAGGUGAGAAAUUCUAAGUUUUCCUACUAAUUCUGUUACUUAUGAGUUUACAUUUUGUAUGUUUUAGGUAUAACUAAUAUUUAAUCCUUUGAGUGUUGUAUGAUCAUGUCUUUUAAUUUUUGUUUCACGUAUCCAGUUAAAAAGUCAACAUUUCUCCUGAGAAUGAUAUUGACUUGAAUUAAUUCAAAUACCUUUGCAUGUUGUUAUUUCCACAGUCCGGGUAGAAGACAAUUUUUGGUGUAGGUGUCCUGAUGGAAUAGAUUGUAUCUUUAAAUACAUUUGUUAGAUGUAUUUUGUCAUGUUCCUGUGAAGAGAACAGUGUGAACCUAGCAAUGGUUGCUAAUGGAACCUUGUUCUCAGCCAUUUAAGUGAUAAGGUGGGUCCUACCACAACAAGACCAUCUGAACUUCAAUAUGAAGAUAAGUGAGGUUGGUAUCCCAGACACUUGUGUUACCAUGUGCGUUUUUAGAUAUCCUCAUGAGGUCUUUACUCAUAUACAGGUAUGAUAUUAUAUGACAUUACCCUAUUAAGGACAUUUUCCUUUUCAGAUAUCUCUGUAUCUUAUAUUUACCUUGUUUUUGCCAUGUGUGUAGUUAAAUUUAUUUGACCCUAUAUAGAUUACUACCAAAAAGAUGUUUUUUCUAUUCCUAUUUAGAGAUAAUAUAUACUUAAUACUUGUACUGAUUAACAGAUAUGCAGUGAUGCAGAUAUUCUUUCAUGUUGCCAUCAUCACAUUACUGACCAUGGAAAUUUUUUCAGGUGUCCCUUCAAGUAAAAACGGUGUCUCUUCCUAGGAAUUGACCUUCAGCUUCUGCAACUAGCCCUGUAGUGUCAAUGGGUACCAAAAUGAUCAAGUGACCAAGGAUAUGUGCAUCUUUAGUGGUUGAAUGAUAUAUAUUCUGCAAACUUUCCCAGGUGGCGCAGUGGUAAAUAAUCCAUCUGCAAAUGCAGGAGAUUCAGGAGACGUGAUUUCAAUCCCUGGUUUGGGAAAAUCCCUAGGGUAGGAAAUGGCAACCCA